GAGCUACCCAGGUGCCCCUAAAAUGUACCAUCUUAACUACUUUUAAGUGUAUAGUUUAGUGGCAUUAAUCACAUUCACACUGUUGUGCAGCUCUCACCACCAACCAUCUGCAGAAUGCUUUCAUCUGGCAAAACUGAAACUCUGUCCCAAUUAAACACUAACUCCCCAUUCACCCCCAGCCCCUGGCCGUCAGCAUCCUACUUUCUAUGAACUUGAUGAUUCUAGGGACCUCACAUAAGCAGAAUCAUACUCUAUUUGUCCUUUUGUAAUGGGCCUAUUUCACCUAACAUCAUGUCCUCAAGGUUCAUCCGUGUUGUCAUUUCUUUGCUUUUUAAGGUUGAAUGAUGUCCUGUUAAAUAUAUGUAUCCCAUAUUGUUUAUUCACUCAUCCAUCAGUGGACACUCGGGUUGCUUCCACCCUCUGGCUACUGUGACUAAUGGCGCUAUGAACAUGACUGUACAAAUAUCUUUGGAGUUCCUGCUUUCGAUUCAUUUGUGUAUAUACCUAGAAGUGGAAUUGCUAGAUCAUAUGGAUGGACCACAUCCAGUGACUACUUGGUGCAGAGAUUCAAGGCUUGGCUUCCUUGUCUCAGCCUAGUGUGACUCUGAAGGGCCAUCCCAGUUCAGAGCUCCUGCUGAGAUCAGCUGAAGUCUCUGCUGUAACCACAUGGCAGUUGAGCUUCACCUCUGCCCAAUCCUGCUUCCCUGACUCCACCUCUUGGGGCCCAGCAGGACCAGGUCCCCAGGCCCUGGGAGGCACUCACCAACACACCAGUUUUCUGAGGACCUGCAUUUCUACCUUGACCACCAGAAGCUUCAAGGAACAAGGUUCCUCACCCAGACACUGACCUCCAUUCUUGGUACCUGUGAAUCAUGCAUUUCACACUCCGUGCCUUGGUUCAUGCUGCCUCUCUGGGAGGAAUGCCCUUCCCACUCUGGCAAACUCCUCUUCACCUGUCUUGAUCCAACUCAGGACACACCCCGCCCCCGCCCCCACUACCGCCCUCAAGAAGCCUCUCUGGACUCAUCUUAUAUCCUCGCCAAUAGAAGCCCUUCCUCUGUUCUGUGUCCGCCACAGCCCCCGGCCCCCACAUGCCUGCCUGUGAACACAGGCACAACUAGACUGGGCGCUCCGUGAAAGUAGAGUCUAGGUUGGACUUGCCCGGCAAGUACCUGGCACAGAGCAGGCAUUGGUGAGCAGCAGCCGAAAGCUCCAGCCCAGCUUAGCCAUGGGAACGCCAAAAUUCAUCUAAUCUUAUUCCAGCAACGCCUAGAUCUCUAAAAGGCAUUGCUUCCACCAAUGGUGAAUGCUGCUCCUGCUGCCUGCAUCCUGGGGACUGCUUUUGUUCAACCACUUCUGCAUACCUGCCAACACGAAAAGAGACCCUGGUAGCAGGACCAGGGCUGGAGACACACAGGGCACAAAAUGUAAAGAGGCCUCGCUCUCAGGCACCAAUCCUGCACCUGCACCCCUCGGAAAGGGAGCCCUCCUUGCAUUUUGCUCCCUGGGCACCUCACCUUGCUUGCCCCAGUCCCUGCCCUGCCCAUAACAAUAACAAGAGCCACACCUGACAUUUGUCCAGUUACUAUGUGCAGGGUAGAGAGCUGGGCAUUUUGCAGGCAUGAAGUUAUUAAUCCACACAACACUGCUCUAAAAUAUGAACCUCAAGAUCUCCAUGGCAUGAGGACCCCAAAACACAGAGAGGUGAUUGAAUGCUGAGCGGGUAUAGGCACGCACUCCCAGCUUGGCCUGGCACCUUGCAAUGCUGCCCUGGAGAGGAAGCCCCUUCCCUCCACUGUUCCCACCUCUGGGCCUUGGCACAUGCUGUGGCCGGCACCAAGCAAACACUCCUGGUGUCACGUGUCCCUGGAUCCUCACAACAGCCCUAUCCAGUGGAUGUUAUGGUUCUCCCUACUUACUGUACAGAUGAAGAAACAGCCUCAGUGAGGUGUGGUGCCCCACCCCCACCACCCAGCCAGGCUUCGGGCCACCCAGGGUGUCUGUGGCAGACCAAGAGAAGGUUCUUUUCUCCUGUCUCCCCCUAGGACUCCUCUGUGAGACCUUCUACCAACCCUCACCUCAUCAGGUAUUUAUGGUUUUGCCCGUAAAAGGACAAGCCAUCCCGAUAAGAUAGAAACGUUUUAUGGGGCAACAAAAAUAUAGAUAAAAUUUUAUAGUGCAAAUCAGGAGGAGGAAAGUAUUAAGUUCCAUAAACACCUUUAAAUUUUAAACAGCCCCCAUUGCAGGGUCCCUGGAGCCAAACUUAAAUAAUGGAUCAGAAAGGGGAUAAAUCUCCCUGGUCCCCCGUGUGGCAGUGGGAGAGACCUGAUCGACAAACAGACAGGAAGGGGGGUAUGGGCGGCCGCCCGGUGCAGUGCUGGGUCCUUGCGGGCCGCAGUGCGGGCAGAGAGCCUUGUCUUUAUUGUACUUAUAAAAUAUACAUGGCCCUUUAUUGAAUUGCCUGCUGUCGAAAUCUGCAAGAAUGUUAUUGCCUUUUACUGUCCUGGAGAGAAGCAGAGCAGCAACAUCUGUGUAAUUUCAUAAGAUGCAGGAGCCAUAAAUCUGAUUGUGCCGGAUAUAAGAUCGAUCGUAAAAAAUCACGCAUUGAACAGAGAUCGGGGAUGCCGGGAAGCAGCAGGGGCCAGUGCAGCUUGGGGGGCGGGGGGGUGGAGAACGGACCUGCUCCACACCCUCCAGGAGCAGCGUCCCAAGUGGGGCUCUGGCCAGCAGGUGCUUUGGAGGAGUAAGACCCUCCCUGUGGGGUCAGGACCUCUGGGGUCCUUGCCCUCUGCAGGGAAGGGAGGUGGGGUCAAAACCUUCCCAGACCCAUGAGAGACCUACUCAGAGAUGGGAAGCAAGAGCUGGAAGGGGGCACCCAGGAUUCACUGUCCUUAUGCAUAAGAGGGACAGAUGGAUGUAGACACACCCAGUCACCCCCAAUAUCAGGUACAUGGGUAUAACCAAGACAUCCUCCAACCUCUGUUUCAACCUGCCUCACACCACUACCCACAAUGACCUUCUCUUAAUCCUUCUCUUGUAUAAAAUUUGUCUUGUAUCUUCAUAAAAAGUGCAAUUGUUUUGGAGAUAGAUAGAUAGAUAGAUAGAUAGAUAGAUAGAUAGAUAGAUAUUAGGGAUGGAGACAACAAAUAGAACCCCUCUUUCCCUCUGGGCUUGGAGCCAGGGAGAGAUAAGACAUAGUGAUAUCAAACCAGCCUAAUCACUCAUCAGAUCUGAUUGGAGGGCAUGGCUGAGAUGAGCCACCCAUUGGGCUUUCUCAUAUGGUCCUUCUGAUCUGAAUUGCCCUUUCCAUUUCUGGACUGUCCCCCAGGGCAAAGCCUUCUGGGAACCUACACCACCCCCAGCACUCUCCCUGCAGGCAGGCCUGCGGAAUCGAGAAAGCCCAGAAGAGGCUGGGUGAGGCAUGCUCAGUUCCGGUCCCCAAAUGCACCAAUCCAGUCUCACCUCCCUUGGGGCAGAAUCAGUGAGGGGUGCAGAGAGAAGCCAGGAGUGUUCUUACAGAAACCCAAGUCCAUGUGGCAAUGACGGUAUCUCCAUCCCUGGCCUCUCCUCUGAGAUGAAGUCCCAAGAAACUCAUCAGAAAGUGUGAAAGCAUGGGAAAGGUUUGCCCAGGGCUUCUCUGCUCUCUGAAUGCCUGGAAAUUACCUUUCCUUGUCAACCAAGCUGCCCUUGCCCUACAGCUGAGUGAGAAGGGGUGAGUUUUUAAAGAGCAAGAAAAUGAUACAGAGAUGGGAAUUGGUUGCUCCCAAAGAGAUGGUCUUCCAACAGCACUCUUAUCAGUUAUCUGUUGCUCUAUAACAAAUAACCCCAAAACUUAGAGGCCUGAAAUAAGAACAUUUGUUAUCUCAUAGCUUCUUGAAGGUCUGGAAUCCUACAAAGUGUGUCCGAGUAAGAAGUAGCUAGUGCCAUCCACCUCUCCCUCCUUCCUUCCUGGGACACAGACAUUCUGUCUGGAGUGAUGGCAGCCAUUUUGUGACCAUAAGAUGACAACCAUGAGGAAAGUAAAGCCUACCAGCUAAAAAUAUUAAUUUAGAAAGACAGAACUUCAAAGGUUUCAGUGAUCAUGGGGUCAACCACCACAAGCAGCCACCUUGUUCUAGACUUCUUUUUCCAUGAGAAAAAAUGAUUCAUUUGAGCUCAUGUUCACUGGGUUCUCUUUUACCUGCAUAACCAAACACAUCCUCUAUCUAGCUGAUGGUGGUAGCCAAUAGAAAAAAUAUAGCUUUGAAGUGAGUCUCCCCUUCAUGAUACAAAGCAGUGUGCCAGCAUAUAGAUGCAAAAUGGCAGAGAGAAAUGAAAAAAAAUUUUAAAGGAAUGCCAUCCAAUUCAGCAGGAGUGUGGGAAAAUGAUCGUUCUUAUGUACUGUUGGUGAAAGUAUAAAUUGGUUUAGCCUUAUUAGGGAGUAAUUUAGCUAUAUCUAUUAUGCUAUAAAAUGCAUAAACUCUCUGACCUAGAAACCUCACUUCUAUAAAUCUAUCCCACAGAAAUAAUCACAUGCAUGGGUAACGUAAUAAGCAUAAGAAUGUUCAUUGUAGCAUUGCUUAUAAUAGCAGACAUUGGGAGCAAUCUCUAUCUCCAUCAGCAGACACACAGUCAAAUAAAUUACUGUUGAAGUCUGUGCCAUCCAGUACGAUAGCCCCUGGUCACGUGUGGCUACUCAGCUCUUGAAAUGUAACUAGUUCACAUGUGCUGUUAGCGUAAAAUACAUGCUGGAUUUCAAAGAAUAUUUUUAAAUAAUGCAAAAAAAUCUCAAUGGUGAUAUAUUGUUUACAUGUUGAAAUGAUAAUAUUUUG